GUUUCCAAAUCAGGUGAGCCGUUUCUUUCUUUUGAAGAAUAUGAAACCGCUGCUGUUCCUUUCAUGUCUCUUCGGAGCACACCUAAUCAAAUUACUGGAUGCAGUGUGUCAGAAGCAGUUUUCUCUGUACAUAAUUUCAGUCUACGUCCCAGUUGUGUGGUACACUGAAGCUGAUGGAACAAAGACAGCAUUGCUGAUGGCUAAAGAUCCCAAAACCCAUAAAACUGAUGUAAUACGUCAUGAUUGAGCUCGAGCUUGUCUUUAUUUUCAUAUUUUUCAGAUUAAAUUCUUGUUUUUAAUUAUUUUAACUUUUCUCUACGUUAUUUCCAGCUCAAAACUCCUCAAAUUAUCAGACAAUAUAAACCGUGUUCUUCAAAAAGAUCAAGUUCAAACUGUGUGCUGCUGUGUUCAGUGGCAAAUGCUCCAGAUGCUACUCUAACCAUGUAUAAAGUAGACACUGUAUUCUCCGUGAACAAAUACACUGAUCUCAACAUCUCCCUCAGUUUAUGUCUGGAGGUGGAAAAUCAGGAUAAAAACAACUACAGCUGUGUGAUCAGCAAUCCCACCAGCAACAAAACGAAACAUCUGGACAUUAGUCGAGACUGUCGGGAAUGUAAAGAUAUAUCACAGACACCAGUGUCAGUGAUGGAGGGAGAUUCUGUCACUCUACCCACUAAUAUUUCAGAAGUACAGGAGAAUGAU